rnacentral:rRNA from 1 species
AUUGAACGCUGACGGCAGGCUUAACACAUGCAAGUCGAGCGGGGUGAUGGUGCUUGCACUAUCACUUAGCGGCGGACGGGUGAGUAAUGCUUAGGAAUCUGCCUAUUAGUGGGGGACAACAUCUCGAAAGGGAUGCUAAUACCGCAUACGUCCUACGGGAGAAAGCAGGGGAUCACUUGUGACCUUGCGCUAAUAGAUGAGCCUAAGUCGGAUUAGCUAGUUGGUGGGGUAAAGGCCUACCAAGGCGACGAUCUGUAGCGGGUCUGAGAGGAUGAUCCGCCACACUGGGACUGAGACACGGCCCAGACUCCUACGGGAGGCAGCAGUGGGGAAUAUUGGACAAUGGGGGGAACCCUGAUCCAGCCAUGCCGCGUGUGUGAAGAAGGCCUUAUGGUUGUGAAGCACUUUAAGCGAGGAGGAGGCUCUUUUGGUUAAUACUCAAGAUGAGUGGACGUUACUCGCAGAAUAAGCACCGGCUAACUCUGUGCCAGCCGCCGCCGUAA